AGGACACGGCACCCUGCAGCACCAGGAGGAGACAUGGAGAAGCAUGUGGGGCCCUCGAUGUCACCUUCAGAGCUCCGAUCCCCGUGGUGCUGGUGACAGAGAAGACCCAGGGACCUGACUGAGCCUGUGUGUGGGAAAGAGGCCCUGCGGAGGACCUCUGCUGGAAGAACGCGGGCUUCUCCUGGCCCUGAGGUGCCGGAAGAACCUCAGCCACCGUGAGUGGCAGGGCAGCUGCUCCCCGCCUGCCUCCUCUCCCUGGUGUCUUAGUUCAGGCUGCUGCAAAGGAAAUACCGCAACCUGGGAGUGAAACCAAUACCUGCCACCAACACAGCUGUUGGUGCUGCUAUCAACACACUGAGACAGAGGCCGGGGACACAAGGACAUAGGCAGGAGCCCCACGGAUGGGAAUAUGGACCUCUUAGCCCGCAGUGGCAGGGUGAGCCCACAUCCUGGUCCCUGGAAGUCUGCAGUCCUGGCAUGUAUACUAAUAAUCGCCCUUCAAACAUGCACUCGGUGGCUGAUGAGUUAGUUAUAUGGCGUCCCUGGGCACCCAGGACCUGGAAUAGAGCUGCGAUGUCCAGGUAAGAGGCCCGGAGUCACCCAGCCCUCUCUCCCCGACAUCCCUUCUUCCGCUAGUCGCAUUCUGCUUCUCAAAGUUGCUGCUCAGCCCCAGGCAGCGGCCGAGGGACGUGUUGCCCUGGACAACUCUCCCAG
rnacentral:lncRNA from 1 species